CUGCUGCCUCCCGUAGGAGUCUGGUCCGUGUCUCAGUACCAGUGUGGGGGACCUUCCUCUCAGAACCCCUACGCAUCGUCGCCUCGGUGGGCCGUUACUCCGCCGACUAGCUAAUGCGACGCAUGGCCAUCCUAUGCCGGAGUCGCCUCCUUUGACCCCAAGAAGAUGUCUCCUAAAGGUGUUAUGCGGUAUUAGACGGAAUUUCUUCCGCUUAUCCCCCUGCAUAGGGCAGGUUCCAUACGUGUUACUCACCCGUGCGCCGG
rnacentral:rRNA from 1 species